rnacentral:rRNA from 1 species
GACGAACGCUGGCGGCGUGCUUAACACAUGCAAGUCGAACGGAAAGGCCCUGCUUUCGUGGGGUGCUCGAGUGGCGAACGGGUGUGUAACACGUGAGUAACCUGCCCUUGACUUUGGGAUAACUUCAGGAAACUGGGGCUAAUACCGGAUAGGAGCUCCUGCUGCAUGGUGGGGGUUGGAAAGUUUCGGCGGUUGGGGAUGGACUCGCGGCUUAUCAGCUUGUUGGUGGGGUAGUGGCUUACCAAGGCUUUGACGGGUAGCCGGCCUGAGAGGGUGACCGGCCACAUUGGGACUGAGAUACGGCCCAGACUCCUACGGGAGGCAGCAGUGGGGAAUAUUGCACAAUGGGCGGAAGCCUGAUGCAGCAACGCCGCGUGCGGGAUGACGGCCUUCGGGUUGUAAACCGCUUUCACCUGUGACGAAGCGUGAGUGACGGUAAUGGGUGAAGAAGCACCGGCUAACUACGUG